GAUGAACGCUGGCGGCGUGCCUAAUACAUGCUAGUCGAGCGAACGGACGAGAAGCUUGCUUCUCUGAUGUUAGCGGCGGACGGGUGAGUAACACGUGGAUAACCUACCUAUAAGACUGGGAUAACUUCGGGAAACCGGAGCUAAUACCGGAUGAUAUUUUGAACCGCAUGGUUCAAAAGUGAAAGACGGUCUUGCUGUCACUUAUAGAUGGAUCCGCGCUGCAUUAGCUAGUUGGUAAGGUAACGGCUUACCAAGGCAACGAUGCAUAGCCGACCUGAGAGGGUGAUCGGCCACACUGGAACUGAGACACGGUCCAGACUCCUACGGGAGGCAGCAGUAGGGAAUCUUCCGCAAUGGGCGAAAGCCUGACGGAGCAACGCCGCGUGAGUGAUGAAGGUCUUCGGAUCGUAAAACUCUGUUAUUAGGGAAGAACAUAUGUGUAAGUAACUGUGCACAUCUUGACGGUACCUAAUCAGAAAGCCACGGCUAACUACGU
rnacentral:rRNA from 1 species